UGUGGUGUCUCUUUCUACCCCCAUUUUUUCCCCUGUAAAAUCAUUUUGUUUCUGAGAGAAAUAUAGUUAUAUGUUUUACUUUCUGAGAGCUUGUUGCUGUAUUUAUAUGAUGCUGGUCAGUCGGGAAGUCCUCGUCGUCUUUCCUGUCUUUUCUUGUCAAGAAAAACAGAAUAAAGCUUUCAAAUUCCAGAAAAUAAAUUUGGGAUGUGGCAUUAAGGUUGGGAGUUGAUGAUGGAACCCGUAA
rnacentral:misc_RNA from 1 species